GACGAACGCUGGCGGCGUGCCUAACACAUGCAAGUCGAACGGUAAGGCCCUGCGUUUGUUCGGUUCUCGAGUGGCGAAAGGGUGUGUAUCACGCGGGUAUCCUCCGCUUUACAUUGGGAUAACUUCAGGAAAAUGGGUCUCAUAUCGCAUAGGACCUUCUGCUACACGGUGCGUGUAGGUAAGAUUCGCUGGUUCGGCAUGGACACGCGGCUCUUCAUCUUGUUGGCGGGGUAGUGGCUUACCAAGGCGUGGACGGGUCGCCAGCCUGCGAGGGUGACCGGCCCCAGUGGGACUGAGAUACGGCCCAGACUCCUACGGGAGGCAGCAGUGGGGAAUAGUGCACAAUGGGCGGAGGCCGGAUGCAACAACGCCGCGUGGUGGAUGACGGCCUUCGGGUUGUAAACCGCGUUCGCCUGUGACGAAGCGUGAGUGACGGUAAUGGGUAAAGAAGCACCGGCUAACUACGUG
rnacentral:rRNA from 1 species